AUCCUCCUCUUGAACCAAUGAGGUUGCAUAGUAUCACUGUCUAAACGAGAGAAGGGGCACCCUCUGGGCUGGAAGCAUCAUGAAUUUAAAGAGGUCUACAGACACCUUUAGAUCUCUCAGAGAAUACCACAAUGUCUGACUCACCAGGGAAAGAGUUCAUCGUUUCAGGGAAGCACAGCUACAGAAGUAGUAAGACGAAAGAUCAUAUUCUAAACUCAAACAUGAAGCAGAGAGAGCCAACUGGAAGCAGGAUUAGAACACUGUCUGAAGAAAUCAGAUGAAUUACUCAAGGCAACACAAUUGAUUAUUGACACCCAUUCAAUUAAAACUUGAGCCUCCAGCCUUGUCAACCUAAUGUGCCCAUCAUUUCACAAGCACCUUGCCUGUAAUAGACUGAGUCCCAUAGUAAGCACCUGGAUUGUCAAGAACUUCUGAAGAGAGAACCAGAAAGCAGAUUUUGGAGGGAGAUGGAAAAGAUGAAAGUGCUUAGAAAUAUAACUUAGCAUGCAGCUGAUAUAGAGGUGUCAAUUUUAGCUGUAGUAUUUAGUGUGUUGUUAUUCUUGAUUGCUUAGAUCUGGAAUCAACUAAGUGACCAGCCUCUUGGUGAAUCUGUGAACAAAUUUCUAGGAAAGAUCAACAGAGCAGAGAACAGAAGACCCUCCACCAGAAUGGGUAGCACCUGUGGUAACCCAUCUAGAAAGAUGUCAGAGGAAAAAGCUAUUCAGGUCGCCUGCCCACCUUCACUUCUUGCUGAAUAUAUCAACUCAGUGUUGCUCUUGUUCUUAUCAUUCACUGAAAACAGAGUCCACCUCCUUCAGCCUUCUGAGAUUCACCAAUGGAUCUCCAGUCAUCCUCCAGGCCUUCAGCACCAGUUUAGGGCUGCUAAGGCAUACAGCUUUGUGGACUGAGCAGCUACUGCGUUUUCAGGCUUUCUAAUGUACAGGUAACCA